rnacentral:rRNA from 1 species
UACGAAGGGGGCUAGCGUUGUUCGGAAUUACUGGGCGUAAAGCGCGCGCAGGCGGUCUUCCAAGUCAGUGGUGAAAGCCCGGAGCUCAACUCCGGAACUGCCAUUGAAACUGUUAGACUUGAGGAUGAGAGAGGUGAGUGGAAUUCCCAGUGUAGAGGUGAAAUUCGUAGAUAUUGGGAAGAACACCGGUGGCGAAGGCGGCCAUCUGGGACGCAACUGACGCUGAGGCGCGAAAGCGUGGGGAUCAAACAGG